UAUUGGACAAUGGGGGCAACCCUGAUCCAGCCAUGUCGCGUGAGUGAAGAAGGUCUUCGGAUUGUAUUGCACUUUAAGUUGGGAGGAAGGGCUUUAGGCUAAUACCCUGAAGUUUUGACGUUACCAACAGAAUAAGCACCGGCUAACUCUGUGCUAGCAGCCGCUGUAAUACAGAGGGUACAAUCGUUAAUCGGAAUUACUGGGCGUAAAGCGCGCGUAGGUGGUUCAGUAAGAUGGGUGUGAAAUCCCCGGGCUUAACCUGGAAACUGCUUUCAUAACUGCUGAGCUAGAGUACGGUAGAGGGUAGUGGAAUUUCCUGUGUAGCGGUAAAAUGCGUAGAUAUAGGAAGGAACACCAGUGGCGAAGGCGACUACCUGGACUGAUACUGACACUGAGGUGCGAAAGCGUGGGGAGCAAAC
rnacentral:rRNA from 1 species